rnacentral:lncRNA from 1 species
UCGUGAUCUGCCCACCUCGGCCUCCCGAAGUGCUGGGAUUACAAGCGUGAGCCACUGCGCCUGGCAAAGACCUCUUCUUCAUGGACCUUUGAUCCAAGGAAAAAGGCCAUAAACAGAACAGGGGACUUUCUACAUCAUCCACAUCUGGGAUUUCACCAGUCAAAGCCAUUCUAUGAGCUGGGGUGUUGUGCUGGAUGAAUACUUGCUCAAUAAUGAUGCUUCAAACCUCCAGGUCCAAGCUCCAAGCAUUGUCAGCACAGCCAUGUGGAGCAACUUCGAUGCACAGAACCUCUUCAAGUCCAACCAAAUAGACACCACCCACUUGGGCAACAAGCCAUCUCAGAGGGCAACCACCUCAUGGGGCUCUCGACACUCUUCCCCUAGCAACCAUACUUCAACUUUGACUUCACGGUUUGUUUAGUGCUGCCUUCUCAUUCGGGCCUUCCUUUCCAGAAGAAAUGUAGAAAUAUGAAUUACACUUCUGUCAUUAGAGAUUCCAGAGGCUUCAAUUAGGCAAGCUGAAAUAAAAUCUGUCUAAAAGACACGUAGUAAUAGGCCUUUGAAACAAGCUUCGAGGUGGUCCCAGACAUUCAGUUCCAAUUUCACAUUGCAUAGCCAGAAACAAACUUGUACCUCAAUGGGAAAGAACUUUUCAGACAGUCCAUUAUUUUUUUAUGUUACCUUCUUUUGUCAUCAAAAAAUGAUCUGGAUCUCUUCUCUCCUCCUCACUUAAGUAACUUUUCUUCAUGUCCUGGGUCAUGCCCCAGGAAUUUUUAUCUACAAAGUGCUCAGCCUGGUGCACAAUGCACAUUCGCUGCUUAAUAAAUAUUUGUUGCCUGA